UCCGCUUACAUAGCUCACGACUCUCCGUCUUCUCAUGAGGAAGAUGGAACGUCUAGCCCCUUUUCUUCUCGGUUUUAUCAUAAGUAUUUAAUAUUUAACCUACACUACCUUAUUUUUCUCUUUAUAUAUAUAUAUUUACCUAUUAGCUUAGGCACCCAGCCUUUUUAUUAAAAUUUAUACAUGUUGGUGGAUUGAAAUGAUUUGGAUCAAUCAAUUAAUUUUUUUUUCGGAAUUAUUCAUUACCUACAAAUAUAUAUACAAAAUUUAUACAGGGUGGCUCUUCGGGAAGAGCAUCAGGAUUAUCGGAAAACUAUGGGCGUGGUGCAAUUGAAUGGCUCGCACGGUCGCCAGACUUAACACCACUAGAUUUUUUCCUUUAAGGGUAUUUAAAAAGCAAAGUUAAUAUAUAAUAAUAUAAUAUAAUAUAAUAUAUAUAAUUAUAAAAUCCACCUGAAAAUAUGGAUAAUUCAAAGGAUUGAAUUACUCCCUAAUGUAGAGAUAUUAGCGGACAAACACUUGCCAAUGUUCGUGAGGAAUUUGGAAACAGACUUUAUUAUUGUCUCGCGAAUAACGGAGCACCAUUUGAGCACUUAACGUAAAUUCUGUGAACUAAUUCGUUAUUUUUUAAACCCCUACUAUUUAUAAGUCUAUAAACUUAAAUUUCUUAUACACCGUUGGGUGCUAGAUUAUGCCUUUUAAAUUGAGGUAUCACACUAUAGGAUAACCAUUUGACAUUCCAAAGUAUAACGUCGAUAAAAUAUUCUAACUCUAAAAAUUCGAGCUAACCUCACUUUGAUAUGACAUAUCAAAGUGAGGUUAGUUCGAGGUGAUUGACAGAACUUUGUCAAAUAUAAUUAUUUUUUUUUUGUUGGUGCAUUGAGAAAUGAAAGCACUGUUUAAUAUCCCAUACCUAUGUCAAAUGGUUUUUGAGAUAUUUAGUUCAUACAUAAUGCGCAUCACUCAAUUAUUCUACUCUAAAAUCUUUGUUAAAAUAACCUAUAUGAAGCCUUAAACAUAUGAUCUAUCCCUAACACCUUACUAAUAGGCGAUUUUAAUGCCAAACUUGGAAGAAGAAGAACAAAAAAGGAUAUGGAUCAGCCCCGAUUAAAAUACAUAAAACGAAAUUUUAUUAUCUCCAACAAAAAAGAAAUAGUCUAUAAUGUAACAGCCUUAAACAAUUUUUCCAUAGACAGCGACCAGGUUGAUAAGUUCAACAAUAACCAUCAACAUUAAAGGAGAACAGCUGAACUGACGACUGACACCAAUAAUGCAGACAUUUUUCGAAACGAUAUUGACAAACACCUAAUAAAGCAAAGAACUGCACCAGCAGCUGAACGAAAACAUAGUAGAUGCUAUAAAACAAACAGAACAAGCAAAUUGUGCUAGGACUAACCAAAAAUAUAGAGCAGUAAGUGACAGACCCAAAAACUUGAUGAAGGAGAGGAAGGGAAUAGCAGAAAUUCAAAAAAUAAUAAAGGAAUUCUUUAAAGAACAAUACGCUAUAGAUAAAAGGGAAAUUAUCCGCGAUCUGAUUUUCAAGAUUGGAAAACCACAAACCCCCUGGAGAAGAGAAAGCGAAGGAAAAACACCACAACAAUGGAACAAUGCAGCCAUUACUCCAAUGCUUAAAAAAAGGUGACAUAACCAAUAUUGCAAAUUGCCGUUCAUCAGACUGCUGUCUCAGCAGGAGAACAGACUGGGCUCCGACCAGGGUAUGGCACAAACGAUCAUCUCCAAGUCCUAAAGAAUCUUAUAGAAAAUUCCAUUGAACACAAUAAACCACUUGUCCUGCUACUCGUGGACUAUGAAAAAUCUUGGCUAUUGGGUAAUUUCGAUAGAGUGGACUGUAUAUAAUAAUUUACACUGGUUUUUUAAAAUGUACAAGUGAAUUUAUUACUUCAAUUACAAAAUUUACAUUGUUGGUUUUACAAAUAGACGAUUACACGUCUAUUUUUCCGA